UAAGGAAUAUUGCGCACUGGGGGAAACCCUGACGCAGCAACGCCGCGUGGAGGAUGACACUUUUCGGAGCGUAAACUCCUUUUAUCAGGAAAGAAUAAUGACGGUACCUGAUGAAUAAGCACCGGCUAACUCCGUGCCAUCAGCCGCGGUAAUACGGGGGGUGCAAGCGUUACUCGGAAUCACUGGGCGUAAAGGACGCGUAGGCGGAUUAUCAAGUCUUUUGUGAAAUCUAGUGGCUUAACCACUAAACUGCUUAGGAAACUGAUAGUCUAGAGUAGAGGAGAGGUAGAUGGAAUUCUUGGUGUAGGGGUAAAAUCCGUAGAGAUCAAGAAGAAUACCCAAUGCGAAAGCGAUCUGCUGGAACCUAACUGACGCUGAGGCGUGAAAGCGUGGGUAGCAAACAGG
rnacentral:rRNA from 1 species